UACGUAGGUGGCAAGCGUUGUCCGUAUUUAUUGGGUUUAAAGUGUGCGUAGGCGUCCCUGUAAGUCAGUGCUGAAAUAUCCCGGCUUAACCGGGAGGGUGGCAUUGAUACUGCGGGGCUAGAGUACAGAUGAGGUAGGCGGAAUUGACGGUGUAGCGGUGAAAUGCUUAGAUAUCGUCAAGAACACCUAUAGCGAAGGCAGGUCUCUGGGCCACUACUGACGCUGAGAAGCGAAAGCAUGGGGAGCGAACAGG
rnacentral:rRNA from 1 species